rnacentral:rRNA from 1 species
AUUGAACGCUAGCGGGAUGCUUUACACAUGCAAGUCGAACGAGUGGCGGACGGGUGGGUAAUAUAUCGGAACGUGCCCAGUAGCGGGGGAUAACUACUCGAAAGAGUGGCUAAUCCCGCAUACUAUUGGAACGGCAGAUAUCGGAUUAGCUAGGUGGUGGGGUAAAGGCUAACAAAGGCAAAGAUCCGUAGCGGGUUUGAGAGGACGACCAUCCACACUGGGACUGAGACACGGCCCAGACUCCUACGGGUGGCAGCAGGGGGGAAUUUUGGACAAUGGGGGAAACCCUGAUCCAGCCAUCCCGCGUGUAUGAGAAGGCCUUCGGGUUGUAAAGUACUUUUGGCAGAGAAGCGGUAUCUGCAGAAUAAGCACCGGCUAACUACGUGCCAGCAGCCGCGGUAAUAC